CCUACGGGAGGCAGCAGUGGGGAAUAUUGGGCAAUGGGCGAAAGCCUGACCCAGCAACGCCGCGUGAAGGAAGAAGGCUUUCGGGUUGUAAACUUCUUUUGACAGGGAAGAGCGGAAGACGGUACCUGUCGAAUAAGCCACGGCUAACUACGUGCCAGCAGCCGCGGUAAUACGUAGGUGGCAAGCGUUGUCCGGAUUUACUGGGGGUAAAGGGCGUGUAGCCGGGCUGACAAGUCAGAUGUGAAAUCCGGGGGCUCAACCCCCGAACUGCAUUUGAAACUGUUGGUCUUGAGUAUCGGAGAGGCAGGCGGAAUUCCUAGUGUAGCGGUGAAAUGCGUAGAUAUUAGGAGGAACACCAGUGGCGAAGGCGGCCUGCUGGACGACAACUGACGGUGAGGCACGAAAGCGUGGGGAGCAAACAGGAUUAGAUACCCCUGUAGUC
rnacentral:rRNA from 1 species